rnacentral:ncRNA from 1 species
GCAGAGUAGCCCUGGACGCGUCAAGUGCUCAUGAACGGGGAGUUGUCAUGAGACGAAGCCAACCUCUGGCGCGGUGUACCGGGCGCAUCCCGCUGC